UACGUAUGGUGCAAGCGUUAUCCGGAUUUACUGGGCGUAAAGGGAGCGCAGGCGGCGCGCCAAGUCUGAUGUGAAACCCCGGGGCUCAACCCCGGGCAUGCAUUGGAAACUGGCGGGCUGGAGUGCCGGAGAGGUAAGCGGAAUUCCUAGUGUAGCGGUGAAAUGCGUAGAUAUAUGGAGGAACACCGGUGGCGAAAGCGGCUCUCUGGCCUGUAACUGACACUGAGGCUCGAAAGCGUGGGGAGCAAACAGG
rnacentral:rRNA from 1 species